UACAGGGGGUGCAAACGUUGCUCGGAAUCAUUGGGCGUAAAGCGCACGUAGGCGGUUCGUUAUGUCGGAUGUGAAAGCCCUUGGCUUAACCGAGGAAGUGCAUCCGAAACUGGCGAGCUAGAGUACGAAAGAGGAUCGCGGAAUUCCCGGUGUAGAGGUGAAAUUCGUAGAUAUCGGGAGGAACACCGGUGGCGAGGGCGGCGAUCUGGGUCGAUACUGACGCUGAGGUGCGAAAGCGUGGGGAGCAAACAGG
rnacentral:rRNA from 1 species